UCAUUAGUUUUUUAAUUGAAAGCUUGUAUGAAUGGUUUGAUGAGAAAGUGACUUUCUUUACUUAAUUUUUUAAGAAUUUUAUUUUUAAGUUAAAAAGCUUAAAUAUUUUUAAUAGACGAGAAGACCCUAUAGAGUUUAAUUUUUUUUAGAAAAUUAAAUUUUUAGAAUUUUAAAAUUUUAUUUUUAUAAAAAAUUUGAUUGGGGUGAUUUUGAAAUUAAAAGAACUUUUAUUAAUUUUUUACAUUAAUUUAUGAUUGUAUGAUCCGUUUAAAAUGAUUAAAAGAAUAAAUUACCUUAGGGAUAACAGCGUUAUUUUUUUUUAGAGUUCAAAUCGAAAAAAAAGAUUGCGACCUCGAUGUUGGAUUAAAGUUAAUUUUUGGUGUAGAAGCUAAAA
rnacentral:rRNA from 1 species